rnacentral:rRNA from 1 species
GACGAACGCUGGCGGCGUGCUUAACACAUGCAAGUCGAGCGGUAAGGCCCUUUCGGGGGUACACGAGCGGCGAACGGGUGAGUAACACGUGGGUGACCUGCCCUUAGCUCUGGGAUAAGCCUGGGAAACUGGGUCUAAUACCGGAUAUGACCUCAUGACGCAUGUUGUGGGGUGGAAAGCCUUGUGCGGCUAGGGAUGGGCCCGCGGCCUAUCAGCUUGUUGGUGGGGUGAUGGCCACCAAGGCGACGACGGGUAGCCGGCCUGAGAGGGCGACCGGCCACACUGGGACUGAGACACGGCCCAGACUCCUACGGGAGGCAGCAGUGGGGAAUCUUGCGCAAUGGGCGAAAGCCUGACGCAGCGACGCCGCGUGAGGGAUGACGGCCUGGUGUAA